AGACAAACGUUGCAAGUAACGCGCGGCGACCAGCUUACGAAGUAUUUCAAUAUUCAAUAGCUCCGUGACGGUUUGAAAACAUACAUUUCAUACAGCUAGGUGAUUUAGAAUCCAAAUCUAAAUUUUAGAUAACAAAAAAAAAAACACAAAAAUAUGUCUUCGCUAUUUUGUGCUAUAUUGUAUGGUCUACGGCCGCCGACCGAAUCCAUAUUGUUACAUUGUAGCAUACUGUAUAACAGAACUCGGAGCCAGCAGGUGAAUAAUUUUUAGAAGUCACAUCUCUUAUACAAAAAGAAACUAUUAAUACAGAUACCAAUGAAUUUUGGCACUUUCUAAUAAAGCUUUUGCAUAGGCUUACAUGUGAAGAAAGACUAGUGGAAUAAUGUUGAAUCAUUUUAGGAUGUUUAUUGGAUUUUUCAAAAAAAGAGCAUAGAUAUCGAUGCUUCUUUUAAUUUAUCUUUUCAAUGUUUAAAUACUAAUGAAUUUUGGGACUUUCUAAUAAAGCUUUUGCAUAGGCUUACAUGUGAAGAAAGACUAGUGGAAUCAUGGUGAAUAAUUUUAAGAUGUUUAUUGGAUUUGUCAAAAAAAGAGCAUAGAAAUCAAUACUGAUUUUGAUUUUUUUUUCAACGUUUAAAUACAUAUGAAUUUGGUGACUUCUUCAUAAAGCUUUUGCAUAGUCUUACAUGUGAAGAAAGACUUGUGAAAUUAUGGUGAAUAAUUUUAAGAAGUUUAUUGGGUUUGUCAAAAAAUAAGCAUAGAAAUCAAUACUAAUUUUGAUUUUUUUUUCAACGUUUAAAUACCAAUAAAUUUUGGCAGUUUCUAAUAAAGCUGUUGCAUAGUCUUACAUGUGAAGAAUGACUAAUGAAAUAAUGUUAAAUAACUUUCAUAUGUUUAUUGGUUUUGUCAAAAAAAGAGCAUAGAAAUCAAUACUGAUUUUGAUUUAUUUUUUCAAU